CCGACUGCAAAUCGUCGUAGCAGUACAAGUAUCUCGUCUCUCUGCUUCUCAUUGUUUCAACUUUUUCCUCUGCACCUAAAUUCCUAGACCUAUCUGACCCAGGCUCUUUACGCUUGUGUUAAUCUGAUAUCAUCACCAUUGAAAGAUAAGGCAACAAAAUAUAUUUUUGGGUUGCUGAAAUGUGGCAUCUCAAGUACGUUAUUUGCUAAGAGUAUAAGCCCCGAGUUUGAUUCUUUGGUCUGAAUGAGCAUUCAUGCCUUUACUUGAUAUUGCCAGCGCUCAACCUUCAUUGCACAGCCCCCUGGUUCCAGUGAGGGUUCAAAUCCUUAUUCAUGGUCAACUCGCAUCUAAUCCAUGGAAAUUGCCUAAAAGAGUAAAUUUUCAUGUGGUGAAACUGGAGAAUCCAAGUGGAAGACCGCAGAUUAGGCUGUUGCUACCCUUGAACCCAAGUGCUCAGUUCUAAAAGAAGAUCAACACAAGAAGUCAAAGCAUGGUUGUGGUUCGACUCCUUCGUCAACUCAGCUUGAACCCUUCAUUCCCCGUGACUCAGAUGAAGAAGUGGAUGAGAGAGAAAAGUUAAGACGGAGGAGAAUUUCUAAAGCAAAUAAAGGAAACACACCAUGGAACAAAGGCAGGAAGCACAGUGCCGAGACACUUCAGCUGAUAAGGGAGAGAACAAGGCUUGCUAUGCAGAACCCUAAGG